rnacentral:rRNA from 1 species
AUGGCGGCUGCGGCUGGCGCGCGCGAGCGGAUGCGCGCGGCUGGAUGGCGCAGGAGGCUCGAGGCAAGGGGGAGGAUCUGUCCUCCUCCACGGCUGGUGCUGGCGGGGCUGGAUGGCGCAGGAGGCUCGAGGCAAGGGGGAGGACCCAGCCUCCUCCACGAGCGGCGCUGGCGGUCAUGUCCGAUUUGGAUCGGAUUCAGUUCCAUGUUUGUGCAGGAGAACUACUCCAACACGAUUGCCAUGGGUGCCCGACCCGGAUUUCACAUAUUCUUUGCUGUCAUAAAAAGAAAGCCUCCACCGGAUUAG